UGGGGGAUAUUGCACAAUGGGCGAAAGCCUGAUGCAGCGACGCCGCGUGGGGGAUGAAUGCUUUCGGGUUGUAAACCUCUUUCGCUAUCGAACAAGGCCCGCUUAGGGUGGGUUGAGGGUAGGUGGAGAAGAAGCGCCGGCUAACUACGUGCCAGCAGCCGCGGUAAUACGUAGGGCGCGAGCGUUGUCCGGAAUUAUUGGGCGUAAAGGGCUUGUAGGCGGCUUGUUGCGCCUGCUGUGAAAACGCGGGGCUUAACUUCGCGCGUGCAGUGGGUACGGGCAGGCUUGAGUGUGGUAGGGGUGACUGGAAUUCCAGGUGUAGCGGUGGAAUGCGCAGAUAUCUGGAGGAUCACCGAUGGCGAAGGCAGGUCACUGGGCCAUUACUGACGCUGAGGAGCGAAAGCAUGGGUAGCGAACAGG
rnacentral:rRNA from 1 species